rnacentral:rRNA from 1 species
GAAUUGACGGGGGCCCGCACAAGCGGUGGAGCAUGUGGUUUAAUUCGAUGCAACGCGAAGAACCUUACCUGGUCUUGACAUCCACGGAAGUUUUCAGAGAUGAGAAUGUGCCUUCGGGAACCGUGAGACAGGUGCUGCAUGGCUGUCGUCAGCUCGUGUUGUGAAAUGUUGGGUUAAGUCCCGCAACGAGCGCAACCCUUAUCCUUUGUUGCCAGCGGUCCGGCCGGGAACUCAAAGGAGACUGCCAGUGAUAAACUGGAGGAAGGUGGGGAUGACGUCAAGUCAUCAUGGCCCUUACGACCAGGGCUACACACGUGCUACAAUGGCGCAUACAAAGAGAAGCGACCUCGCGAGAGCAAGCGGACCUCAUAAAGUGCGUCGUAGUCCGGAUUGGAGUCUGCAACUCGACUCCAUGAAGUCGGAAUCGCUAGUAAUCGUGGAUCAGAAUGCCACGGUGAAUACGUUCCCGGGCCUUGUACACACCGCCCGUCACACCAUGGGAGUGGGUUGCAAAAGAAGUAGGUAGCUUAACCUUCGGGAGGGCGCUUACCACUUUGUGAUUCAUGACUGGGGUGAAGUCGUAACAAGGUAACCGUAGGGGAACCUGCGGUUGGAUCACCUCCUUACCUU